rnacentral:rRNA from 1 species
CAUAUCAAUAAGCUGAGGAAAAGAAACCAACAGGGAUUGCCCUAGUAACGGCGAGUGAAGCGGCAACAGCUCAAAUUUGAAAUCUGGCCCCGUCGUUCGGGGUCCGAGUUGUACUUUGCAGAGGGUGCUUCGGCGUGGGCCCCGGUCCAAGUGCCCUGGAACGGGACGUCGCAGAGGGUGAGAACCCCGUAUGCGGCCGGCGGCCUCUCGCCAUGUGAAGCCCCUUCGACGAGUCGAGUUGUUUGGGAAUGCAGCUCUAAAUGGGAGGUAAAUUUCUUCUAAAGCUAAAUACCGGCCAGAGACCGAUAGCGCACAAGUAGAGUGAUCGAAAGAUGAAAAGCACUUUGGAAAGAGAGUCAAAAAGCACGUGAAAUUGUUGAAAGGGAAGCGCUUGCAACCAGACGUGCCCGCGGGCGCUCAUCCGGGCUCUCGGGCCCGGUGCGCUCGCCCGCGCGGCAGGCCAGCAUCGGUUCGGGCGGUCGGAGAAAGGCGUCGGGAACGUGGCCCCCCCCUCGCGGGGGGGUGUUAUAGCCCGGCGCGUAAUACGGCCAGCCCGGACCGAGGUCCGCGCUUCGGCUAGGAUGCUGGCGUAAUGGUGGCAAGCGGCCCGUCUUGAAACACGGACCAAGGAGUCUAACAUCUAUGCGAGUGUUUGGGUGUCAAGCCCGGGCGCGCAAUGAAAGUGAACGGAGGUGGGAACCCGUCAGGGCGCACCAUCGACCGAUCCUGAUGUCUUCGGAUGGAUUUGAGUAGGAGCAUAGCUGUUGGGACCCGAAAGAUGGUGAACUAUGCCUGAAUAGGGUGAAGCCAGAGGAAACUCUGGUGGAGGCUCGCAGCGGUUCUGACGUGCAAAUCGAUCGUCAAAUUUGGGCAUAGGGGCGAAAGACUAAUCGAACCAUCUAGUAGCUGGGUUUCCUGCAGAAGUUCU